UACGUAGGGUGCAAGCGUUGUCCGGAAUUAUUGGGCGUAAAGAGCUCGUAGGCGGUUCGUCGCGUCGGCUGUGAAAACCUGAGGCUCAACCUCAGGCCUGCAGUCGAUACGGGCGGACUUGAGUACUGCAGGGGAGACUGGAAUUCCUGGUGUAGCGGUGAAAUGCGCAGAUAUCAGGAGGAACACCGGUGGCGAAGGCGGGUCUCUGGGCAGUAACUGACGCUGAGGAGCGAGAGCGUGGGGAGCGAACAGG
rnacentral:rRNA from 1 species